AGUGAGCCGCCCGCCUCGGCCUCCCAAAGUGCUGGGAUUACAGUGUCUUCUCUGGAAGUCACACAUUGGCCACUGACAACAGGAGAGAAGACAAAGAGAGGCAACAAGAGACUAUUUCCAGUGUAAAAUAUGAUCAGGUAACUCAGCACACUUUUCAUGGGCAUGUGGGGUAGGCAAAGGUGGGGUGCCCUGCUGAAGGGUACAAAGAAGCUAGCUCAUCCUUUGGAAUGACACUUAAGCCUCCCACGUUAUUUCUAUCUUGGAUAAUAAUAAUUCUGCAUUUGAAAUGAAUGGUUGGAAUGCAUUCUCUUUGAUAAAAUAUGCACAGAGUUUUAGAGCUAGAGCUUAACAAUCCAAGCCCUUCAUUUUAUAGAUGAAAAAAUAAAUCCCAGAGGGGUCAAAUAACUUGAGUUAAUUCCUCAAGAUAGUUAGUGGCAGAACUGGAACCAGAGCUCAGAUCUACCUGUUCCUAAUUAAGCAUAUUUUCUAAUGGAGAUAUUCCUGUGCUUGCUUUGACGUCACACUUAACCUUUCUCCCCAAUUUCUGUUUCCUGGUUAUUGUGAAGAUUAAAUCUAAUAAUGUAUGUUAAGAAUGUUCCUGAACCUCUAAAAGCCUUAAAAAAUCCUGGCAGCCUUACUGUUAUUCUAAUAAAUGCUCCAAAUAACGGAAGUUUCAAAAGGAUGUAUAUUGUGCCGUUUUGUGGAGUUUUGUAUGAAAUGCAUCCUUUUCUGUUUUCCAGUGAUAUUGACAUAAUUCUGCUCCAAUGAACUACUAUUCCUAUCUCAAAUGACUUCUUUGGUAGGAACAAAAAUUAACAGUUAAUACAAAAAAAAAAGACACAGGGAGUGUUCAAAACGGAGAAUGGCAGAAUGUCUUAAAAGUUACCCAGACACAAAUGCCAAUGCUUAAUUUUUAUUUUAAAAUAAAGUAUUCAGCAUCUAGAAAAUAACCUUAAAUGCACAAGCCUUGUUCAUGAUCGUAACCCCUCCCUUUCUUCCACUUAUCUACUAGAAAAUUUGCUAGUCUUUCAUGUUUCUGCUUUAUUCGUUUAUUUCUUUCCUUAAGCAAGUAUUUAUUGGAACACUACUAUGUGCCAAUACUGUGGUUACAGCAAUGAAUACAAGAAGAUUCUAUAGAGAGAAUCAGGGGCAAUUAUAAGUCAUGGAAAGAACAAGGGUAGCAAAAGUACUGUAGAGAAGCAAGGAAAAUAGAAUUUAGUAAAACUUGAAACAUUCAGAUCUUCCAUUAUUAAGAUAUUCUGUUAAGAGUAUAAUUGAGGGAUUUGAGUGAAACCAGAGGUUUAAAAAUCAUCUUUGAAUUUUUAAAACUCAAAGGUUUUAGUCUAUCUUGACCAAAGAUAUUGAAAGAUGGCUACCAUUCGAAUUCAUUUAAAAUGUCUUCUCUGAUUAAUUUUUACUUUGUGAAUGUGAUUCGUUUCUUUAAUUUGGAAAUAAUGAAUAAAGAGCUAGAUUCUAAAUUUCCUUGGAUUUGAGGACUGAUAAAACAUUUCCCAUUACUAAAAUAUUAUCUAUUAAAACUGAAAAACUUGGGUUGAAAUCUUUGGAUGCAUCAACAAUACGAUCAAUAGCCAUGAUUAAAGAUAAACAGUGACAUGACGAGGCAAAGAGUAUUGAUAGAUAUGGUUUGGAAAUAGGAAAACUAUGAAUGCAUUGCAGAUAGGCAUAUCAAAUAGAGAAUGUAGAAAGCAUUUUUAUAACAAGCCAUUUAAUUAAAAUAUAUGAUUCUGACUAAUACACUAAAUGGUUCUUUAUUUUAGGAUACUCAGAAUAUAUUCCCAGCUUGUUAAGACAUAAGAAAAAGUAAAUAAUUAGUGCUAUGAUCCUUAAUUGUAAGAAUGAGAACCACAGGGGAAUUAUUGUUCUAUAUUCUUUUAUGAACUAAUAAAAAAAGAGCAUAAUGAGAAAAGAUGAUGAGAUCAUCCUUUUCUGUGGGUAAUUGCAGUAAUACAUUCUAAGGACAUACCAUCUCUACAUAGAUGAAUAAGAAAUACCAAAAAUGUAAUCAAGAAUCAAAAUUAACAGAGAGGAAUUAGAAAUGUGUCAUAAUAAACAUGGGAGAGGGAGGGAUGGGUGAAGCUAAGGGAAGAAAAACAAAGCCUUCAAAGGCUGUCAUAUGUUCCUAUUGUGUACAAUCUAUGUGAACAAGGUCAGCAACAAGGAUAACAUGAACACUGAGAGAUACUGGAUAAUUUUUUAUUUCAAAAUAUAAUGAAUACAUGAAUCAUUUUUUGCAGAUACAGUGAUAGAACUAUAGACUACUGGAAAUGAAUAAGACUUUCUCUAAAAGAAAAUGAAAAUUUUGAAACAAAUUGAAUAAUGUGAAUGUAUUUUUAAGAAUUUAGAUCACAGACUUAAAUCUUGAGCUUGUCAUAAACCAAAGCAAAAUAGCAGAAAAUAAGUGACAUUGCACUUAUCAUAGGACCUCAAAUUCUAUUGUUUUGAGAUCUGCAGGC